rnacentral:rRNA from 1 species
UACGGAGGGAGCUAGCGUUGUUCGGAAUUACUGGGCGUAAAGCGUGCGCAGGCGGUUUUGUAAGUCUGACGUGAAAUCCCCGGGCUUAACCUGGGAAUUGCGUUGGAGACUGCAAGGCUGGAGUCUGGCAGAGGGGGGUAGAAUUCCACGUGUGAGCAGUGAAAUGCGUAGAGAUGUGGAGGAACACCGAUGGCGAAGGCAGCCCCCUGGGCCAACACUGACGCUCAGGCACGAAAGCGUGGGGAGCAAACAGG